rnacentral:rRNA from 1 species
AUUGAACGCUGGCGGCAGGCCUAACACAUGCAAGUCGAGCGGAUGAAGAGAGCUUGCUCUCUGAUUCAGCGGCGGACGGGUGAGUAAUGCCUAGGAAUCUGCCCUGGUAGUGGGGGACAACGUUUCGAAAGGAACGCUAAUACCGCAUACGUCCUACGGGAGAAAGCAGGGGACCUUCGGGCCUUGCGCUAUCAGAUGAGCCUAGGUCGGAUUAGCUAGUUGGUGAGGUAAUGGCUCACCAAGGCGACGAUCCGUAACUGGUCUGAGAGGAUGAUCAGUCACACUGGAACUGAGACACGGUCCAGACUCCUACGGGAGGCAGGCAGUGGGGAAUAUUGGACAAUGGGCGAAAGCCUGAUCCAGCCAUGCCGCGUGUGUGAAGAAGGUCUUCGGAUUGUAAAGCACUUUAAGUUGGGUAGGAAGGGGUUGUAGAUUAAUACUCUGCAAUUUUGACGUUACCGACAGAAUAAG